rnacentral:rRNA from 1 species
GUGCCAGCAGCCGCGGUAAGACGGAGGGGGCUAGCGUUGUUCGGAAUUACUGGGCGUAAAGGGCGCGUAGGCGGCUCUUCAAGUUAGGCGUGAAAGCCCUGGGCUUAACCUAGGAAUAGCGUUUAAUACUGGAGAGCUAGAGAUUGGUAGAGGGAAAUGGAAUUCCUAGUGUAGAGGUGAAAUUCGUAGAUAUUAGGAAGAACACCAGAGGCGAAGGCGGUUUCCUGGGCCAAUACUGACGCUGAGGCGCGAAAGCGUGGGGAGCAAACAGGAUUAGAUACCCCGGUAGUCC